UGUGAAAGAAUCCGGCGCUUAAGCGCUCUGGUGGUGUUGUCAUAGUGAUGAAUACUCUCUUGUAUUCAUAGUAAUUAUCUUCAUCGGAGCUUUAUUCGCAUGUAACCUCGUUCUCGAUGUACACAGCCGCACACUCGUGUUUCAUUGUUUCCUUAAGAGCAGUGCUGCAUGUUCUUCGAAUAAGGCCGGUAAUAAGGUUAACCUCUUGACCGAAUGGUGGACGGAGAGGAACUCUUUCUUCGAACUAUUACUCGAAAUCUGCCGACAGGAAUUUGGACCAUCAGAGCCGAACCAUAUAGUAGCCCAAGGUCAAGUCAGCUCAUUUGAUGUCUCUUGGAAUCGUUUGAGGAUGGUGUGAUGGUAUGAACGUUUCAUGGAAAUUUAGUGUCCUUAAAUAUUUAUACGGUGUAGAGGUUAUGGCAAUAAAAACUGAAGACGCUAUUGCCGGGCCUUAUUGACAAAAAAACGUACAUAAUAUUUUGUGCUAGACACCGGCACAAUUUAGCUUUCAGUCAUGGCAAAGCACCAGUGCAGUAAAUGCAAAAUGCUGUUUCCUUCUAAAAUGCGCUUAACACGACAUGAAGUUGUCCAUAGUGAUGAAAGGCCUUUCAGAUGCGACGAAUGCAGCCGGAGCUUCAAACGAAUCGUCAGUUUAAGGAUCCACCUCAGGGUGCAUACCGGCGAGAAGCCGUAUGAGUGCGACAAUUGCGGCGCUAAGUUCCGCCAGAAAGGUGGUCUUGUCGUCCACCAGCGUCGGCAUACGGGAGAACGGCCAUUCAAGUGCGAUCAUUGUGAGCUUGCUUUCACCACUGGCGGGGCCAAGACACAUCAUCUUCGAGUUCACACAGGCGAACGACCGUAUGCGUGCGAGUGUGGAAGGCGGUUUAUAAGCAGCAGUAAUUUACAAACUCAUGCAAAAACGCACACCUUGAGUGACAAAAAAACGUUCCAAUUCCAUUGUAUGAAAUGCGAUAUGCAGUUCUCGUCGCGAGCGAAUUUGGUUGGCCACAUGAGAAAACAUACGGUUGUAAGAAACUUUGGAUGUACUUUAUGCCCAAAACGGUUUCCUACAAAACGAUCAUUGAAUAUUCACAAUAUCAGUCACACGAAGGAAAAAGCUUUCGAAUGCCUCGAGUGUGGGAAGAAAUUCGGCUAUGAACAUGUCCUCAAAUAUCAUCUUGUGGCAGUGCAUGGUUCUGAAAAAAAACAUGUUUGCGAACUGUGCAAAAAGGCGUUUAAAACGAUCGGAGAUUUGAAGAAGCACGUGAUAACACACUCAAAUACGAAACCACAUGCAUGUGGACGGUGUGAUAGAGCAUUCCGCACUCAUGCCGUAUUACGACAGCAUUUUAUGACACAUACAGGAGAAAGACCAUAUGAGUGCGCUCAGUGUCAGAAACGGUUCUCCCAGGCUGGAGCGUUGAAACGUCACAUAAUGGUACACACUGGUGAGAAACCAUACGCCUGCGAACACUGCAAGAAAGCCUUUAGCUCAAAAGCAGAUAUGCGAAAGCAUGUUCGUAUCCACACGGGCGAAAAACCAUAUAAAUGCGACCAGUGUCCAAAGGAGUUUUCUGUUAACAGUUCGUUGCAUUGUCACUACCGGAGCUACCACACAGGAGAAUGGCCAUUCGUAUGUAAACAGUGCGAUCGGAGAUUUAAUAACAGGUCACGUUUGAUGCGGCAUGUGACGGCGGUUCAUGACGGCUGAGCGGGUCGACGGCGCUCGGAACUAUGAUACAAUAAGUAUAGAUUAGAGAAGCCCCCUGUAUUCAAAAUUUGAACUAAGUGCUGGUCUAUCUAACCAAUAGCUAGUAAAAACGUUCAUCUCAAAUACAGUAUAGCGCAACAUGUGAAGAGAAUGCAUAAAAAUUACUUCCCACAUAAGUGUGAGCUCGGAAGUUUGGUAAAGGAAUGUUACCGUGGCGGAGUUGCAUCGUCGUUUGGAUAAACGUUACGUCUUAGUUAUUAAGACUUCAGGCCAAACCUGAAGAUUCUGCUCAAUGCCCGAGGAAAAUCAUAUCAAAAUUAGGGUGCCAGACUUCGCAAAAAGUGACCAACGUCACCUUUCAACGAUUGAAUCUUAUAUUGAACAAAGAGGUUGCCCUGUAGGGUGCAGACGAGUUAAGGUUCAUGGGCUGUCGCAGCCUUAUCGUACAUGCACAUGUAAGCUAAAAUCGCAACAGUUGAUCAUGUCAGUACCUCAUGGCGUCCUAGUGAGCGAUUACCAAGAUCGAUAAUAAUGUCACAGAAUCAUGGUAGAUGUCGGUCGCGGGAUCUGUUGACUAUAAACGGAUGCGAGAUACUGGUUGCAAUUGGUCCUGGAAGUCAUUGAUUGUGUCUAAUAUGGCGAUUGCCCAAUGUCUCAGUUGAAAUAAAAUUAUUUUAGGUUA